AUGCUCCACUCAUUCUACGCCAAGCACCCAAUCACGGGAUCAGAAUCACAAUCGAGAAGACCAGGAAAAGAUAAGGAUAAAGAAUGUCAUAUAUCUCAAGAGCUAGAUCACUUCCCGAUGAACAAGUCAGAAUUGCCUCAACAAAAAUGGAUGGAAUUGGACCGAAAAAAGCUACUUAACUCGGUGGUUAGAGUAUUGCUUUCAUACGGCGGGAGUCAUUGGUUCAAACCCAAUAGUAGGUAA
rnacentral:tRNA from 1 species